AGCAUCCUCCCUGGGGAGCUCCGGACCUGGGUGCAGCUGCAUCACCCUGAGAGUGGUGAGGAGGCUGUGGCUGUGGUGGAGGAUUUCCAGAGACACCUCAGUGGACCAGAGGAGGUUUCAGCCCCAGCACAGAAACAGGAAAUGCAUUUUGAGGAGACAACAGCUCUGGGUACAACAAAGGAAUCUCCUACAUCACCCCUCAGUGGGGGCUCAGCCCCUGGAGCCCACCUGGAGCCUCCUUAUGACCCAGGGACACACCACCUCCCCAAUGGGGACUUCGCUCAAUGUACUUCUCCAGUUCCUACCCUUCCUCAAGUGGGGAACUCAGGAGACCAAGCAGGGGCAACUGUACUUCGGAUGGUCAGGCCCCAGGAUACUGUGGCAUAUGAGGACCUAUCUGUAGACUACACUCAGAAGAAAUGGAAAGGUCUCACACUCAGUCAGAGAGCCCUGCAGUGGAACAUGAUGCCAGAAAAUCACCAUAGCAUGGCCUCCUUGGGUAAUGAUUCUGUUUCCUAGUCACUUAAAGUCUGCAUGCUGCAC
rnacentral:sRNA from 1 species